UACGAGGGGGGCGAGCGUUGUUCGGAAUUAUUGGGCGUAAAGAGCUCGUAGGCGGUUUGUUGCGUCGGCUGUGAAAUCCCGAGGCUCAACCUCGGGUCUGCAGUCGAUACGAGCAAACUAGAGUGUUGCAGGGGAGACUGGAAUUCCUGGUGUAGCGGUGAAAUGCGCAGAUAUCAGGAGGAACACCGGUGGCGAAGGCGGCAUCCUGGACCGGCAUUGACGCUGAGGAGCGAGAGCCAGGGGAGCAAACGGG
rnacentral:rRNA from 1 species